GACGAACGCUGGCGGCGUGCCUAAUACAUGCAAGUAGAACGCUGAAGGAGGAGCUUGCUUCUCUGGAUGAGUUGCGAACGGGUGAGUAACGCGUAGGUAACCUGCCUGGUAGUGGGGGAUAACUAUUGGAAACGAUAGCUAAUACCGCAUAAUAGCAGUUGUUGCAUGAUAACUGUUUGAAAGGUGCAAUUGCACCGCUACCAGAUGGACCUGCGUUGUAUUAGCUAGUUGGUGGGGUAACGGCUCACCAAGGCGACGAUACAUAGCCGACCUGAGAGGGUGAUCGGCCACACCGGGACUGAGACACGGCCCAGACUCCUACGGGAGGCAGCAGUAGGGAAUCUUCGGCAAUGGACGGAAGUCUGACCGAGCAACGCCGCGUGAGUGAAGAAGGUUUUCGGAUCGUAAAGCUCUGUUGUAAGAGAAGAACGAGUGUGAGAGUGGAAAGUUCACACUGUGACGGUAUCUUACCAGAAAGGGACGGCUAACUACGUG
rnacentral:rRNA from 1 species